rnacentral:rRNA from 1 species
GAUGAACGCUGACAGAAUGCUUAACACAUGCAAGUCGACUUGAAUUUGGGGGUUUUUCUUAGUUUUGGGUUGCGGACGGGUGAGUAACUCGUAAGUAGCUUACCUCACUGCUAGGGUCAACAUUUUUAAACAAAUGCUAGUACCUAAUAGUAUAAUAAUAGAACAUCCUGUAUUUAUGAAAACUAUAAGCGCUGUUGCAGCUCUUUGCGUACUAUUAGCUAGUUGGGGAGGUAACGGCUCACCACGGCGAUGAUGGGUAGCCAGCCUGAGAGUGUGAUCGGCCACAAGGUGACUGAGAAACGGCCAGUACGGCUACGGGAGGCAGCAGUGGGGAAUAUUGGAAGAUGGACCGAGAGUCUGAUCAAGCACUUCUGUGCGUAAGACGAAGUUUUUAGGAAUGUAAAGUGCUUUAAGUUGGGAAGAAACAAAUGACGGUACCAACAGAAGAAGUGACGGCUAAAUACGUG